rnacentral:lncRNA from 1 species
AUCCGUUUCAUGGUGUCUGUGCUCCAAGAGGCGGGAUCCUUUGCUGUCCUCUCCCUUCCCAGCUCUGCGCUCGGGCUCACCUUGUUCAGUGACUCAUCUCACAAGAUUUACUUGGCCCUUCCCGACAGCAAGAGUUUUGUCGUCCGGGAGGUUCAACAAGCACCUUAUGGUUUCUUCCGUAAGGCGGUCGUAGGUGGUGUGUACGCAGACAUUGUAGGGCAUACCGUGAUUGCUGAUUUAUGCCGUUCGCUGAUGUCUCUUGAUGUUGCUGAUCUUGCCAAGCUCUUCGCUAGCGGUCUUCGAGAUGCAACAGACCUCAUGUGUUUUCCAGUGUGUUUGGCUGGACAUAUGUUGCUCGUCUUAUAUGAAAAGGGGUCGGUCUUUGUUCUAAAAAAGGAUGUCAAGAUAGGUAAGCUCGUGGCUUUGGACAACAUCGGUAGGUAUGCCAUCUUCAUUGGUCCUCAGAGGUGCGUGGCUGUCGAUGCCGACAAGUUCCCAAGCAUCGAGGCAAACUGCGCCUACUUCACUGAACAACUGGGUUCGUCUGUUCAUAUCUGCAAGUGCAACAUCAAGGACAGGAAAGUUGAGAGGAUCUCUGAAGCUGCCGAUUUCGUGAAGCAGGACAAGAAGUUUGUCCUCACCGCUGACUGUCCUUCGACGAUCAUCCACCUUCUCUCCGGCUACACCGUCAAUAUCCCGGAUUCUCAACUGGCUUUGCAACAGGUUCCAUAAGCCGCCGGCAGAUCUUCGCUCAACUUUGGGGAGAUUGAUCACAGGUCAAGACCAUGCUUUAGUCUUCUGCUUUGUUAUUUUGGAUAUGCUUUGCCAUGUAACGGGUAAGAAACAGGUUGAUCCUAGAUUAGAUCACCUUUACUGGAACUACUGUAUGUUGUCUUGGUACUUGGUAUGAACCUAAUGCUACAUCUAUUGUGCUUUAUGCUAUCUCUUGUUUUUUUUUUUUGCGGAUGAAUCUCUUGUUGUUGUUACCUACCUCUUCUCUUGCAUUACUUAGAAAUGCAAUCUGGUGCUUAAUUUGGACAAGGAAGUUUUUGCCAACUUCUGAAUUUUGGUCCUGCAAUUGGACCGGCAUGCAUAAUUGUUCUCUGCAAGCUUUGUUAAUUUUGCAAUGUCAUGUGUUGGGCAAGACACGGUUUGUCGAGCUGCUGUAUGAUGUGGCUUGGGCUUACAACAGGGUACGGAAGUAACAUUUCAUCUAUUUUUCUAAUGCUCUCAUGCGUCCAUGCUUCUGCCCCUUGAAGUAGUUGCAUUUGUAGUUUGUUGCUUGUAUUUGUGGGCAUUACUGUAGAAAUAAAAUUUGUAGAGGAUGUGCUUUGCAGCCCAUAAUUGCUGCAAAGAACUUAAGAUGUUCCCAGCUUAUAAAUAUUAAAGAUUAUUUUUCUUUUAGUGUAGAUUGAAAUCCUGGUAAGUUCGAGCUAAAUGAUGGAAACUUCAAGUCUGCAUUGUCCAUUGAGAUCAUCAAUUCAUUCAAUUAGGAUAUCAAUUGGUUUUCCUUGAAAAAAUGAGUUUCCUCAGUCACUACACCAUUAGUGGUAUAACACUAAACUAGUCGCUUAGUUUGGUACCUGUGAAAGCCUUUUUUGUUUCAGAGAAUACAUUUGAGAUUUCACACUCUGAAUGAAUGUUUCUGCCUCUGUUAUUUUAGUGGUCCAAGAUAAUCACUGAUCUUAUUAUCUCUCUGUGAUCAUAGCAUGUGAAUCAACUGCAACCUCAUACACCUAGUUCCCAAAUAUUGCAUAGAACGGCAUUCUUAGUAACAUUGUCGAACAGAGCAAAAUAAUGCAUUUUUUUGUACUUCCUAAACAUCCUAAGAGAGUGGGGAGGGGGGGGGGGGCCUUCCAGGAUACAAUCACCUUUCUCUUAGUCUAAGGUUUGCAGAGAAAGUAAGAGUUAAGAGUUUUUAUAACAAUUCGUUAGAAACUAAGGACCGGGACUGCAAAUUUUUUUUUUUGCUAAUUACUAGCUCAGGUCACUUGGAGUAUAAAUUUCGACGGAUGAGAUUCAGCGUUGGUAAAGCUCUCAACAUAGUAUUUUCUUUUUUACAUCUCAAAACAGAGGAAAAGAAAAGGCAAAAUAUAAUGUAUAGAUGCACCAACCGAGUCAACCAACCUAAAGAAAAACUGGCCUGGCCGGUUAGUAAGAGCAGAGCAGGAACCAAUUUAUUUUAUUUUAUUAUGUGUAGUACUGUAGAUUAUUGGGUAAUUGACAGUCCAUGCAAUCGUUGCAUUACACUGAUAAAACUCUGUCGUUUGUGACCACUCUUGACACAUCAAUCAGUUGAUCUUGGCUGGCGCGGUGGCUCGGAGGUUCUUGAUGCAGUGAUCCACGCAGGGUCUCCAUGUGUGCCUCCACGCGGUGUUGUGCAUCUUCGCAAUUAGGCUACUACCAGCGUAGCUCAGUUUUAGGAUUCGAAAAUAGAAGAAUAAAAGAUUGAAAUGCUUUCAAGCCAAACUCUUGGACGAUCGACCUGAAAUGGGGCAUGAGGUUCCUUGUAUGAUGGAAAUGUGGAUGUGUAUGUACCUCAAAUUGCUUCGGUACAACCCAACUUCUGCUGAUGACUAGUAGAAUGCCCGUGCAUUGCCACGGGCUUCUGAAAGAGUCACAGGUACAGAUAAUAUAACACAGUCACAAAUUGCAUAAUAAUUGAAGUCCACUUCAUUUGGAAUCAAAGGUGAUAACAAAAUAGCAAAUUAACAAUGUAUACAUAUAAAGUGAUGAUCCAAUUAAAAAUCUAUUACAAAGUAUUGAGAUCUACUUAAUGCACUUAAGAAAUUCUCUCACAAUAUCAGAAUAGUUGUCUUUAGCUUAAUUCGCACGAUGUUUGAGGAAGUACAAUAAAAAUUACUUCCUUAACUCAUACCCAUCUUGCAAAAGCAAUAUAUGUAGUUAGCAUGAAUACUUCACGUGAAAGGUUUAAAAACAUGUGUAACGCACAAUACUCACCGCACAAACUGGCUUCGCCAGGUCUUUACCGUUCCACAAUAGCAUAAAAUGAAAGACAAAUUAGCUUGACCAAUCCCUGCAAUUUCCUAAAUUGUUAUUGUAUUAAAUAUGGUGAUAACAAAAAUAAAUAUUUAUAUUCUAAAUUUAUUGCCCGUCUAAUCUCGUUGGAAUGCCACCACGAAAUAAACAUUUCCAUUUUGAUAUAGCAAAAUGCCAUCCUGGUUGCUUUAUUUCCGGUGCUUCUUUGAAUUCCCUCGCAAAACUGAUUAAUUUCACUAAGUGCUUUAGAAUUUUCAUCUCCAACAAUUGUGUAGUAUUAAUAGGGUCCAGAAUAGAUACACGACGUGCCUCUUUAUCGAUGACGUACAAGAUGUGUCGACGAAUGGAUUCAUAUGAAAGAUAAAUCUACAGGUCGUAGCUAUUACAGACAACAAUAAACCAUGGCAAACAAUGGACAAAAGACUUUACUUACCAUAUUGCACAAUGAAAUGUUGUUGUCUAUCCCAGGCCAGCUAUCAAACAAGUUUGCCAACUUCUGAAUAGCUUCCUUAUCGCGGAACUUUUGACCUCGUGUUGAAUCCUGCAUCAUGGACGGAGUAAAAAACUAUUUAGAAACCUGUUGAUAAUAAUGAUACUGAAUGAAGAAUUUUGAUAACUUACAUAAAAUUGUAGACCCAUGUAGUGUAUAGGAGGGUCUAUGAACAAUACUCCCUCAUCACAUGACAGUAUAUGCACGGCAAUGUUAAAACAAUCAUUGUCCAUAGACUGCUCCAUGUUAAGUAUGCCCUGAAGUUUUUUGAGAUUAAGCCCAUUGAACUGGAAGUCGAGCUUCGGAAUAAGAACAAUAAUGUAUGCUAACACAUUACAUAUUGAUAAUUGAUACUUACUCCAAACACUUGGCAUCAUCGAUGGACAUGAUGUAGUUGUAGAGGCCGGCAAGUAAUUCACAUUGAUCCGUGGGCAUCAUGGGGAUUGGGCUAGGACGUUUGUCUUUGACUCUAUCAGGUGGAUUCUCCAGGAGCUCGAGAUCAGAAUUAGAUGAACUUUCUUCAUUGUCAGGCUAAUUGUAUAUCAGACAUCCCUUUAGCUUAUUUAGUUCUGAAUCGAGCAAAAUGAGAGCUAAUUUUCGUCGAAAGUGUUUCAUAUCUUCCUGCAACAUAUAAAAAAAGAAAUGAUACAAUAUAUUGAGAUAAAAUGAUGAGAUAAUGUAUAAAAAUGGCAGCGGGUAGAGUUCUUGUCCUGCACAAAGAAAGGUAACUAACCCUCUUGUAUUAUCUUUAUAUCUGCAUGAUUUUGGUGGAGGCAACAAAACAAUUUGAAAUGCAUUGAGUUGUGCAAUGGAUUAACUACUUUGAUUCAAGUUUUCUUCUUCCUAGGCUGGUCGAGUUUGAGAAAAGCAAAAAUAAAAUAAAAUAGGAGAGUAGAAAAAAUCACAAAGAAAAGCACAUAGUCACAGGACAAAAUAAAAAUGUUGCUUUGGCCUAGCAGCAUCAUCUCGUCCUCCAUUUGUUGUAAAUUUUCUCGGACACACAUCUUAUUUCUCAUACGUCACCGACAAGACAAACUUGCUUGGAGUUUUGGCUCCAGGGAACAUAUACUCCCUAGUGAACAGUAAAUAGAAAACAAAUCGGAAAUAAAUUUUAAAAUUCUGAAGUUUUUCUAUAGAUCUUCAUGUUAGUGUAACAAGUGUGCUUGCCAAUUAUCUCGGUCUACUCCUUGCUCUUGCUUUGGUGUCAUCACUCUACUUCUCUCCAUACAGUUUCCUCGUGACAUGAUAAGCUAGUUCUUAUUAUCCCUGUCAUUUUUUUUAUGUAUUGGUAAUGCUCAUAUGUACAUAUGUGUUCCUCAAAUAUUUGGAUUUUGAACUACCAGACCAUUCAAAUAAAUGCUUCCUGUGUUGUCUGGUCAAAGCAAGCUUCACAAAAACAUGCAUGGACUCUUACCAAAAUCUAAUGAUGAUAUAUAGAAACUGAAGAUAGUUCCAUCAGUACAUGCUUGACCACCAAGUGGAAUUUUGUUUCACAUAGAUGUGAAAAGUAAUCUAAGUGCAUAUUGGAUUCCAUAUCAAUUAUCUACCACACUUAUUUUAACAAGCUCUUGAUAAUUCGAAAAAGGAACACUAUGGAGCUAAUCUGAAACCGCACAAUGAUAUUCGUGCUGCUAUUAUUCUGAUAGUGUUGCUUGUUGAAUAGAAAUCAUGUAUAUAACAAAUUAUCCUCUCUGAGCUAUGUUCUUGGUACAGGUUACUUUGGUACAACGUGAGAAAAAUUAUAGCCUUGGUUAGGAUACCUCUCGAGUAGCAGCGCCAUGGCUUGACGCAGUAUGUUUUCAAAAGAGUUGAAUGUAUACAUAUGUCAAGCCUUGCUAUGUACUGGUUGUAUACUUAGCUCAGUUGAAUACUUACUUUGAACAGGUAUAUGCCUCGCUAGCACACAAGAACAGUCAGGACCAUGUACGAAUCGGACGAACAGUUGGGGCCAUGUCACACCUACAAUCGAACAGUUGUAUAGUUAACUCAGUCUCUUCCCGCAUUAGUUCUUCUAGAAGUAAACUUUUCCCGCAUUAGUUCUUCUAGAAGUAAACUGUGUGGCUCGCUCACAGCCGCGCCGACACUAGUGGCUCGCUGGCAGCCGCGCCGACACCGGUAGCUCGCUGGCAGCCGCGCCGGCACCCGUGGCAAAGUUUGAAGAAACGUGCCUCGCAUACCUGGAAGCUUGGAGAAUCAGGCCUUGCCCGCCCCGCUUGGAAGAUAGGAUUUGAAAAUUGAUUGUUGUGUAUGGAAAGAACGAAAAUAUUUGAUUAAACUGUUCUUUGUGGAAGCUUUUUGUGACGAAAAUAUUCGAUAUGAUUUGAUUGGCGUCGUAUAUGGAAGGGAAGGAUGGAAGGAUUUGUGUUUUAUAUGGAAGGGUGGGAUCGAUGGAAGGGUUGGUUUGGUUCUGGUGAUGCAUGAAUUAAAACCGGUCCUGGUUUUCCAAAAAAGGGUUUCCCCCCGCUUUGUAUACAAAGCAACCAACCGAACCAUACAUGGAUAGGUGCUGGGGCGGAAGCAGCACAGUCACGCCCAAAAGAAACGAUAGAGAAAAGCAAAAGAAACAAAUGCCGAAAACGGCGGAUCAACAAAACGAAGAAGCCUCGCGAUCGCAGCGCCCACCAGGAUCUUCCACUAGACUCCAAGACUCCGAAGCGCCGGCACCUAUCAACACCUCCAAGAAGGAUCGUGACGAUGACGACGCUGCUGCUAAGGGUUUCCCCCGGUACACGAUGAGGCGAGAGGAAGGGUAGCUCCGACGCCCUCCCGGAAGGUCAGGUGGCACCCACAGGCGCCACCGCGCCGGUGUUGGCCAUGCCGACAGGGGUUUCCCACGAUCCCAACCCGCACCUCGGGCGCCCCGGAGCCUGCCACCAAACCAACCACCAUCGUGCGCCAACGCGGUCUUGAGGCCCCCACGCCGUCUCACCACGGCACCGCGAAGUGAGGAUAGCACGACGAAGAAUCAGAGCCGGGACUAGGGCAUCAGCACCAUCGGCACGCGGGAGGGCCCCACCUCCACCGUCCGCGGCGGUAGCCGUCCGGACGCAAUAGCGGGAGCACACCAGGCCCGUGGGCCCACUGGCCCGGCCGAGCCCUCGUGGGCUCGCAAAGCUCCCGCCUUCGCGCUGCUGCCGGCACGCCGGCGGUGCCGCCGCCCCAAUCCGAGUCGCUCUUCCUCCUCACUGCGCCGCAGACAACGAGGCUACGCCCAGGGACCGGCCCGCUAGGACCUAGAUGGGGCCCUAAGGGCCCAGAUCUGGGCCGAGGACGCGCCGCCGGCCACCCUGCGCAACCAGGCCGCCCCGCCGCCAAAGGACNNNNNNNNNNNNNNNNNNNNNNNNNNNNNNNNNNNNNNNNNNNNNNNNNNNNNNNNNNNNNNNNNNNNNNNNNNNNNNNNNNNNNNNNNNNNNNNNNNNNNNNNNNNNNNNNNNNNNNNNNNNNNNNNNNNNNNNNNNNNNNNNNNNNNNNNNNNNNNNNNNNNNNNNNNNNNNNNNNNNNNNNNNNNNNNNNNNNNNNNNNNNNNNNNNNNNNNNNNNNNNNNNNNNNNNNNNNNNNNNNNNNNNNNNNNNNNNNNNNNNNNNNNNNNNNNNNNNNNNNNNNNNNNNNNNNNNNNNNNNNNNNNNNNNNNNNNNNNNNNNNNNNNNNNNNNNNNNNNNNNNNNNNNNNNNNNNNNNNNNNNNNNNNNNNNNNNNNNNNNNNNNNNNNNNNNNNNNNNNNNNNNNNNNNNNNNNNNNNNNNNNNNNNNNNNNNNNNNNNNNNNNNNNNNNNNNNNNNNNNNNNNNNNNNNNNNNNNNNNNNNNNNNNNNNNNNNNNNNNNNNNNNNNNNNNNNNNNNNNNNNNNNGGGGAUCGAUGGAAGGGUGGGGAUGAACGAAACGAACAAACGACUUACCUACUAACACAUUAGGAGUAGAGAUGUGAAAAGCCUGGGUAAUCAAGAGUACAGAGAUUCAUACGGGUGCGGUUCUUUCUCUUUUGUAUCAUCGAAUCUGACACCGCUCCUAAUCAAGUCAAGUCAAGUAAUACGAGGAGUCUUAAAUUUGUCUCUAUGCUAAGAGCUCCUGCCAAAAACCAUAUACAAGGUAUAACGUUGUUCUUGUAGUUCUUCUUUUUCUUUCUCUUGUGGUUUUUUCUUUUAGAAAGUAAACAUUAGGUUGAAAUGGAUUUGAGACAUGCACUCCACAUGAUUGUGAUAAUACUUACUAUAUGAGUGAGUGAGUAGGAUUGGGCUUUGUUAAGCGUAUCCCGAAACCCAGACCCACCGAAUGUAAGAUCAAGUCUAGACUUUUUUUUUAGUCUCUACUCCUAAUGGAGCAGUUGGUAGUCUCGCUUCCAGGUUUUUUUUCGUCCCAUCUUUUAUGGUUUUUUUUGUACCCCCUCCCACCUUCGCUGGUUUUUUUCGUAGAUUUUUUCGUCCCCUCCCCUCACUUUAUCGAUUUAUUUUCGCGUCAUCCUCUCACACAACGAAAGAAAUCUGAACAGAUCAGAACUUUCCAUACUGGCGCAAGUUAUUUAGUAAUGUAGAAUCAAUCACGAACAAUCUCUAAAAAUCAAAUCUAUAUUAAUUAACCUUACCUUAAAUCACUCAAUCAUAUUAAUUAGAAAACAAAUAUUUGAUUUUCAGAAAAAUCGCUCAAUCACAUUAACCUUACCUUAACUCACGGAUGGUAAUCAAUCUCCAAACAAAGGAAACAGAACAUCGAGGGAGGAGUAAAUAAAUUCCCUUUCUUAUGACUUGUAUAUGAUCUUCCCUUCCCUCUCCGUUGUCGAGCAUUCUUGAUUCUCGAGGCCGAUGCUUGGGCUGCGUCACUAGGUCACGACGGUGACGGAGGACGAGGACGGCGAGGCCGGGUGCCGCGGCACCGCGUUGGCCGCAGCCGGUGAAGGGGUGAAGAAGGGCGGCUUCCCUGGCCGUGGCCCUGGGAGUUGGUGCCGUGGAGUAUCGAGGACCUCCACGUAAUGGUCACGCUGAGUAUCGAGGACCUCCACGUAAGCAGAGCGGCGCCGAAAACGAUGAGCUGUUGAAAAACUGGAAGGAGUGCCCCGCGCCGGAAAAGGCGAUGAAAAAGGCGCCGGAGCCGCUGCUGAAGGUAUGGAAGACGAGGUCUGUGUUCUGGGACUUGGAGUACUGGCACAAACUCGAUACACCUCAUUGCCUUGAUCAAAUGCAUAUCUGUAAGAAUGUCCUUGAGAGCUUGCUCGCGACACUGAUGAACAUGCCGGAUAAGACCAAGGAUGGGCCGAAGGCAAGAAAAGACUUGCAAGAUUUGAAUAUCAGGGAAGAUCUGCACAUGUUGUCCCGUAAAAAGUCAGUCGAGACAGAGACGGAGACAGAGGCGCGGGAGAAGAAGGGCAAGAAAAUAAAUAAAGAGGAUUAUUGCCCCCCUUCUUGCUUCACCUUAAGUCAGUCUGAGAUCGAUCUAUUCUUUAAGUGCCUUACCGGAGUCAAAGUUAGUUCCGGUUACUGUGGCAAGAUAAGAAGAUAUCUAGACACGGACAAGAAAAGGUCAGCGGGAUGAAGUCCCACGACUGUCAUGUGAUGAUGACGCAGAUACUACCUGUUGCCCUUAGAGGGAUAAUGGACAAGCACGUCCGUGACACGCUUAUUGGUCUCUGCAACUUUUUCGACAUCAUCUCUUGAAAGUCGAUCAGUGUGAAGCAGCUCCGACGGCGACAGGAAGAGAUCGUUGUGAUACUGAAUGAGCUUGAGAUGUACUUCCCGCCCGCGUUCUUUGACGUGAUGGUGCAUCUAUGUGUCCAUAUUAUGGACGACAUAAUAGACUUGGGGCCGUCAUUCCUGCACAACAUGAUGCCGUUUGAGAGGAUGAAUGGGAUCAUCAAAGGAUUCGUUUGUAACAUGUCCCGUCCGGAUGGAAGCAUCGUCCAGGGCUAUGUGACACAAGAGUGCAUCUCUUUCUGCGAGAAUUUUCUAUAUGGCGCAGACCAGCCGCCUGGUGUUAGUGCUGGUUUGCCCGUUAACAAGCAUGAUGGGAGGCUCGAAGGAGAAGGUCACUCCAACGGUCGCAGGGAACUGCACGUGGCAUACUCAGAUCGACGCAACGACUUUGACAGAGCAAACUUGGUAGUGCUACAACACCUAGACGAGGUAGAUCCUUUCGUGGCACUGCACAAAGAAAUUAUCGCAAAGAAGUAUCGUGACCGGGGAGUAUGUAGGACGGACGCCGAAGUUACUAGAGAGUACAACUCCACUUUCCUGCAUUGGUUCAAAAAGCAUAUUAUUGCUAAUCCCCCGGAGGAGGGCUCUAAGGACGGAUUGCUCAUAUACGCCUUAGCACAUGGCCCCUCGCCCAACCUCGUAACCUAUCAGGCAUACGAUAUCAAUGGAUACACGUUCUACACGGAGGCCAAAGAUAUGGACAGUAAUGAUCAGAACUUAGGGGCGACGAUGGAAUGCAUGACCGGGGGGUAACUGAAAGAUUUUAUGGAAGGUUCGAGGAGAUCUGGGAGCUUGACUACUCCGGACUGCACAAUACGACGAUGUUCCGUGUCAGAUGGGCUAAGAAUAUCAAAAGAGAAAAGCGGAAUUUUACUACCAUGAUUGUAACCCCGUUGCUGAUAACUUGUCUCGGCUUAAAAAUAUUUCUGAGGGCCCACAACCUAUUAAUGAUAGUUUUUCUGAUGAGCAGUUAGCUGCAAUAAAUGUUUCUAAUAGUACCCCUUGGUAUGCUGACUAUGCUAAUUACAUUAUUGCUAAAUACAUCCCCCCUAGCUUUACAUACCAACAAAAGAAAAAAUUCUUCUAUGAUUUAAGACAUUACUUUUGGGAUGACCUACAUCUUUAUAAAGGAGUAGACGGUAUUAUUAGACGUUGUGUACCUGAGCAUGAAUAAGGACAAAUCCUAUGGAAAUGUCACUCCGAAGCUUAUGGAGGACAUCAUGCGGGAGACAUAACUGCUCACAAGGUAUUGCAAUCUGGGUUUUAUUGGCCUACUCUGUUCAAGGAUGCCCGUAAGUUUGUUUUAAUACACUAGAUGUGCAUGUUGAAUAGCUGUCGAUGUAUGGAGUGGUAGUAGUAGACGCUGGCAGGAGUCGGUCUACUAUAAUCUUGGACGUGAUGCCUAUUUACAUGAUCAUUUCCUUGGAUAUCGUCAUAAUUAUUUGCUCUUCUAUCUAUUUCCCAAAAGUAAUUUGUUUACCCACAGUAUGCUAUUUUCUCGAGAGAAGCCACUAGUGAAAUAUAGCCCCCGGGUCUAUUUCCUAUCAUAUUGUUUUUAGAUUUAUUAUUCUAAAAACCUCAAAGUACAUUGUUGCACUUCUUUAUUUAUUUUACUUUGUGUUUUUUUCAUAUCCAUUUAUUCAAUCUCAUACAAUUUAAUCUAUCUCAAUACCGAGGGAUUGACAACCCCUCUUACGCGUCGGGUUGCACGUAUUUGUUAUUUGUGCGUAGGUACUGUUUACAUAGUGUUGCUUGGUUCUCCUACUGGAUUGACAACCUUGGUUUCAUAAAUGAGAGAAAUUGUUCCCGUUGAUGUGUUGCAUCAUCCUCUCCUCUUUGGGGAAAUACGAACACUGAUACAAGCAAUCAAGCUCCGAUGGAAACCUCUAGUUUGGCUUACUGGAUUGUACAGUGGUGGCAUGUGGCGUCGUCUACCUUCUUGGAGACACUAUUUUGGGGACCAUAUCUGUUGGGAGAUCUCCGAGGCAUAGUGGCAUUGGAUCACCACGUAGAGUCACCAGUAAGGGUCAUUUGCUUCGAGGGAAAUUCUGGAUCCGGGUCUCCCGGAUGGGAUGAUGGUGGCGUUUGGUGUCACACCUCCUCUUGGGGGCAAUGUCCCCAUCAACGACAGCGGGUCUUGGCGGCAUGGUGCACCGGAGUCUUGGCGACAUAUGUGUCUUUGUGGACAAGCGCGGGGUGGUGGUGAUGUUUGGCACCAUGGCGGAGUCUAUGGCUGGCCAGCCAAUCUAGGAUAAUGUGAAUCUCUUUCUUGAAGAUGAUCCAACAGUUCGAUGAUGGUGUUGGUCUCUUGCGCUUGUGCAUGUUUGUACGCUUUGGGCUUGCUACACCAGAUGUAUGCUCAUGGUACAUCAUGCAUACAUAUCGACGGUGACCCCGACUUUAAAUGGUGGGGCGAGAUAGCAUUCCCCAUUGUUAGGUUUGUAGGUGUGGAUGAUGGCUUCGGGUUGUUUCAUGUAUGUUCUUGUCAGUCCUUUCUUAAAUAAUUUACUAAAGACAUCUAAGUAUGAUGAUCACACUGACACGAGGUUUUACCCAUGUCCGGGAUCCGAGAAGAUAAUAUUCUACGUCCUUCCUGUGUUUAUUGCGUUGGAUUCAGUACAAAAUGCAAAUGUCUAUAUCCUAGGAUUCUAAUGUGUCCUCUACAAGCCCAGCCACCCCGGUUUAUGUACAUACUAGGGACUCUAGGGUAACCACAUCCUAGUCGGCUACAUAUAAGGAAACUGAGUCUUUGAUGAAUCUAGCACCUUGGAGUAUACGACAUGUCUUCUAGAGCUUUUGUAGAAAAGCUUGCUAGACCUUUAUUGAUUAGCUAAAAUGUUUGCAAGGAUUACAACUGAGUCAUGCAAUGUACCCAGCCAUAGAUACCUCCUCACCGGGAGGGAAAGGCCGUACCUAGCUAGCCCGUGAGCUUCAUAAUUCGCAACUCUAGGUUCAAAGGAGAAAUUACAAGAUCCAAAGGAAAGAGAAGUAUCUAAAAUCUUUCUAAUGAUAAUGACGUAGUCCCCUCCAGCUUUUUGAUAUUUAUGAUGUGCCACCUGUUUGCAAUCCGAAGCGACUUGUAUGUGUAACAUCCCAAGAUCUUGCGCCAAAGAAAGACCCUCCUUGCAUGCAAUAGCUUCAAGCGUCUGCGGAUUCAUCAAGCCAUGAAUGACUAGCAUACAGUAGACCAAGUAAGUGCCAUCAUGGUCCCGACACAUAACAGUAGCCGUACCAACAUUAUAAUUGGUCGAAAUUGCAGCGUCAACAUUGAUCUUGAUGGAACCCUCAGCCGGCGAGAUCCAUUUGAAAUGACACACAUUUAGAAAAUAGCCUUCUAGAGCUAGCCUUCUAUUUAUGCAUCAUGGGCCGCCCAAGGUGGCCCACUCCUGAACCGACAAAGAGGAUCCUUGGCCCGGCCCGCCCUACCGAGAGACAAGUGGUGAGAGGCCCCCUAGACGGGGCACCAUCAUCUUGGCUACGAGAAGUUGGCCCACCAAGUAGCACAAGGGCCCUGGUACUACUCUACCUAUCCAGCUCUUGGGUCUCUAGAUAGAAGGAUUUGGCAACUUGAUGGCCAAGGCAAGAACGUCGGACAUCAAGGACAACUCUCCAACAACCUUAGACGACUAGGAUCCAUGUAACACUAGGCCUCGGUACCAUUUAUAUAACGAGGCCGGGCUAGCCGCUGAGGCAACCUUUUACAUCAAUACCUUGAUACAUCCAAUUUCAUUGUUGUACCCCAUACACCCAAUUCAUCUAAUACAAUCAAGGUGCGGGGUUUUACCUCCAGAGUGUGGGCCCGGACUUGAAUAAUUUUGACGUGUUGUUUCCCCUCUAAAUCUUUCGGUUACCAAUGACACCCUAUCGACGGAUCUGCCAGAUUUUACACCAACACUUUCUCUUAGGCAGUAGCGCAAAGGCAGGCGACGAUGACAGUGGUGGUGAUUCGGUGGGUAUUGGCGACAUCGUGGCGAACUGACGAAGACGCACUAACAUGGAAACCUUUUACAUCAACCCCUCGAUACACCUAAGUUCAUUGUUGUACCCCCAUCCAUCUAAUACAAUCUAGGUGUAGGGUUUUACCUCCAAAUUGAGGGCCCAAACCUGAAUAAUUUCGGUCUCUUGUUUCCCCUCCAAAUUGACAAAGGCACACUGACAUGGCUACCCGUGACACCGUGUCGAGGGGUCUACCUGAUUUUAUGCCAACACUUAUUGUCCAUGUUUUGUUCUUCUUUCUCCGGCGGUUGCGAAAUUACGGGUGACAGUGCUGGUGCUGGCGUGGUGGGUACUGACUAAGCCACACUAAUCGUGGCACUUAUUGGAACUCUAUAUUGCGAGAUGCCAGAUUUCUCAAUUGUGGUAAGUUGAGGUGUUUUACUGGAAGCCCUGGAUAAUUUUUCGCCACUAGGGGUUUUGUUGGAUGCUCCGAGAAGAUAACACCCUACAUCCUGCUUGUGUUUAUUGCCUUGGAUUCAGUACAAAAUACAAAUGUCUAUCCUAGGAUUGUAAUGUGUCAUCUACGAGCCCACCCCCCGGGUUUAUACAGAUACCGAGGACUGUAGGGUUGCCACAUCUUAAUCGGCUACAUAUGAGGAAACCGAGUCUUUGACGAAUCUAGCACCUUGGAGUACAUGACAAGUCUUCUAGAGCUUGCCUUCUGUUUAUACAUCAUGGGCCGCCCGAGGUGGGCCACUCUUGAAGCAACAAAGAGGGUCCUUGGCCCGGCCCACCCGACCGAGAGACAAGUGGUGAGAGCCCCCUAGCUCGGACACCGUCAUCUUGGCCACCAGAAGUCGGCCCACCAAGUAGCACAAGAGCCCUAGUAGUACUCUACCCGACCAAAGUUUACCAUCCUGCUCAUGGGUCUCUAGAUGGACGGAUUUGGCAACUUGAUGGCCAAGGCAAGAAGGACGAACAUCAAGGAGAACUCUCCAACAGCCUUAGCCGACUAGAAUUCAUGUAACACUAGGCCUCGGUACCAUUUAUAUGCCGAGGGCGGGCUAGCCGCUGAGGCAACCUUUUACAUCAAUCCCUUGAUACACCUAACUUCAUUGUUGUACCCCGUGCACCCAAUCCAUCUAAUACAAUCUAGGUGCAGGGAUUUACCUCUACAGUGUGAUAAUUUUGAUGUGCUGUUUCCCCCCUAAAUCUUCCAGCUAUCUGUGACACCCUAUCGAGGGGUCUGCCGGAUUUUACACCAACACUUAUUGUCAAUAUGAUGCUCUUUUUCCUUAGGUGGUAGCACAAAGGCGGGAGACGGCGGCGGUGGCAGCGCGGUGGGUAUUGGCGACAUCGCGACGAACUGACAAAGGCGCACUAAAACGGCAACCUUUUACAUCAACCCCUUGUACCCCCAUCCAUCUAAUACAAUUUAGGUGUAGGGUUUUACCUCCAAAUUGAGGGCCCAAAGCUGAAUAGUUUUGGUCUCAUGUUUCCCCUCUAGAUGUUCAGCUACCUGUGACACCCUAUCGGGGGGUCUGCCGGAUUUUACGCCAACACUUAUUGUUCGUGUGAUGUUCUUCUUUCUUCGGCGGUAGCGCAAUGACGGGUGACAGUGGCGGUGAUGGCAUGGUGAGUAUUGGCGACAUCACGGGAGGCCGACGGCACACUGAUCGUGGCAUUUAUUUGGAACUCUAUAUUGCGAGAGGCCAGAUUUGUCAAUUGUGGUAAGUCGGGGUGUUUUAUUGGAAGCCCUCAAUAAAUUUUCGCGACUAGGGGUUUCGUUGGAUGCUCUUGGGUCUUUCCGAUUCAUCCCCAAAUCAGCCGCCGCCGCCGGCGCCUCAAUCUCCCGACCUCACUUUCUUCUCCACCCGCCGCCCCAAAUACAUCCUCCCCUCCUCCCCUCCCGCGCGCCGUCACCUCUCGGCACCACUGGGCACCCGCAGCUCGGCCACCCUUCUCCCCCCCUCUUCCUCCAUUACUCAUCUUCUUCUGUUUGCUCACCUCCUCAAUCCUUCAAUGUAUCCACUCUGCUUGUGCUCGUCUACUGACCUGCAGAUCUGGUAAGGAAAUCCUCCCCUAUUUCUCCAUUUCUUUCCAUUACGCUGCUCACUGACAAGUUGAAUCUUUUUUACAGGGGAGUUAACGGUCAAAGUAAACGGUCAAACUAACAGUUAUCUUACAUGUGGUCCCAACUUGUCAUAAUCAUGAUCAACUGAUAAAGACUCGACGAUUUGAGUUUUUUGAAACAGCAAACCACCCAUUUGGUAGUUAUCUGAGAAAAAAUAAAAUCUGGUAGUUUUUUGGAACCCUAGCCUGUAAAGUAGUAGUUUUAUGCUAUUUACUCGCCAUCCUCAGGAGAGGAGCUUGAGCGCGCAGCAAUGGUCGCCUCUGUUCCCCCGCCUGCAAAGAGGAAGAAGGGGGAUCCGAAGCCCUCUCCGCUCCUUCUGGGUGCAGGUUGGUCCGCCCUCCCGCCGGACCUCGUCCGCCGGGUCGCCGACUCCCUCCUGGCCAUGUUCAUUGGCCAUCAGAGGUCCCUGGCCAUUGAUGCAGACAAGUUCCCAGGCAUCGAUGCAAACUGUGUCUACUACACCGACAUUCUGGGUUCAUCGGCUCAUAUCUGCAAGUGGAACAUCAAGGAUAGGAAAGUAGAGAGGAUCUCUGAAUCUGCCGAGUUCUUGAAGCAGGACAAGAAGUUUGCCCUCGUCGCUGACCGUCCUUGGACGAUCAUCCACCUUUUUUGCAGCUACACCAUCAACAUCCCGGUUCUCAGCUGGCUUUGCAUCAGAUUCCAUAAGGCGACGGUAGACCUUCAUUCAACUCUGGGGAUCCUGAUGACUGCAAAGUAACUGCUCCUAAUUACUCUCUUGUCUUUUGCUUCGUUAUUUUGGAUAUGCCUUGCCAUGUAACGGGUAAGAAACAGGUUGAUCCUAGGUUAGAUCACCUGUAGUGGAACUACUGUUUGCUGUCUUAAUUAGUACUUGGGGUCAGCCUAAUGCUACAUCUAUUGUGCUUUAUGCUAUCGUUUUGCUGUGUGCCCCUCUUCUCUUGCAUUACUUCUUAGAAAUGCAAUCUGGUGCUUAAUUAGGACAUAAAAGUUUUUCCCAACCUCUGAAUUGAGCUCCUGCAAUUGGACCGUUCAUCAUAUUAGCAUUUAUUAUUAUUUUUUGUAAGCUUGUUAAUUUUGUAAUCUCAUGUCCUGGACAAGACACGGUUUGUCGAGCUGCUGAACUUACAAUAGGGUAUGGAAGUAACAUUUCAUUUCAUUUUUUCUAGCGUUUCCAUGCAUCUAUGCUUCAGCCCUUGAACUAGUUGCAUUUGUAGUUUGUUCCUUGUAUUUCUAGGCAUUACUGCAGAAAUAAUUUAAGAACUGAAGAUGUGCUUGCAGCUUAUAUAUCAUUGUUGCAAAGAACUUAAGAUGUUCCCAGCUUAUAAAUAUUUGUGACAUGGUUGGCACUUGCUGUCUUUAAAGGGCAAUGGUAGAUUUUUUACAUACUCUUCCCUGGCAGGUGUUGCCCAUUACAUAGUUUUUACCUGUUUGGAAACUGCAUGUCUUCCUGAGCUGUUUCAACUUGGCAUUGUAAUGGAUGUCCACUGAUCAGGAGGUCAAAAUGUCCUUAUAGGGCUGCAACAGUUAGCACAGAACUGUUGUUGAAAGUAACAUAGGAUAUAGUUGAAGCAAGUAGUGCUGCCUGUAAUGGAUGAACCACUGGUAGUCUCGUUUUGUUCUCUGAGAAAAGAUUGUGCCAUUGGAUGUUGAGCUCUUGUGAAUCUGUAGCUUACCAGUCAGUAAUGCAUUGCCCUUAUGUUUAGUGUAGCAGCAGUGAGCUUGUGGGCACCCAAUCCUCAGUUUGUUCAGUUAGUUGAUGAUUAGUAGCACGUCACUAACUAUUGGUUUUGUUUUGUAGUACCUGUGAAAGUGAAUCCCUCUUUUGAUUCAGAGGAUGCAUCCGAAACUCUGAAUGAAUGUUUCUUCAGGGCAGCUUCUGCCUCCUCUUUGAGAUCAUUGCAUGUAGUUUAGUCUUACAGCGUAAAAUAACUUGGUGCUUGUAUUAUCGUCUCUACUUACUCUGUACAUUGUGCUGCAACCUCAUCAUACAUCUAGUUCCCAAACUGGCACCAACCAGGGUAAAUAAGGCAGAGAACGACACACAGAAUAGUACAUAACUGAAACUAUUUCCUACAGUGUAGGGGUAGAAAGGGCAGCAAUUAUAAGGGCAUGCUACAGGACUGUAAUUCUUUUUUGACGAACUAGCAACCCCUAUUGCCUAAUUACUAGCUCAGGUCAUUUGCAAUACCACUUUUGACAAGAAACAGCAUUUACUAUGGGCCUGAUUGGUUUGAACUUUUUUUGAAUGUUGUGUUUGGUUGGAACUUAGCAGCUAACUUUGCCACUCAUAUUUUGAAAACCACGUCUAUUGUUCUAUGUCAAUCGAUCCAAGAAUUUCGAUGGAUGAGAUUAAUCGUCGGGCGUACGUGCAUGUGAUUGCGUCGGAUCGUGAGCCAUCACAUGCACGAUUGGUGUCUCCCUGUCGAGGCGUUCUUCUCGCUAGGGUUCGCCGCCGCGGUCGGGUGGGUUUUCCAUCAGCUGUGCGUGGCCGUGCCAGGCGGGCCUCAGGCGCCUCUGACCUUGCGAAGUCGGCCGGCGACGACGCGAUGCCGCCCAAGCCUCCGCCGCCGGUUAGUGACAAGUUGUCUAAGUGGGCGGCUAAGAAGAAGAAGCUCACUUGUUUCUGGUGUGGGGAACCGGGUCACUUUUUGGUUCAGUGUACUGCGGAGUUAUGUGAUCUGUGCCGGAAGCCUAAACACACUGCGGCCGACUGUCCUCUUAUGUUGGGGCCAAAACCAUCCGUUCAGAUUUACGGAGUGUGUUGUUCGGAGUUGAUGUUUUUUGAGUCUCCGUCUGCGGAGCCUUCUGCGUCCAUAGUGGAAACAUCCUUCCCCGGUGUGGUGAAGGUGGUUCACGGGCCGUUGACCGAAGCACAGAUCAUUCAGCAGUUGAGAGAGCUCGCUCCGGGUAAUUUUCAGUGGUCCUUACUUAAGCUCUCCGAUAACUCAUAUAAAGUGGAUUUCCUGUCUAAGGAGGAUCAGAUGAGGAUUCUCAAGUUCGGUAUGAGCAGGGUCACAGGUACUAGUUUUGUGCUGGAAUUCGAUGAGUGGAAAAAGAAAGAGCCACAGGGCACGCCUUUAACUUAGAUUUGGGUUCGUUUCUCUGGUGCCCCGUCUACUCCUUUGGAUAGCUUCUUGGUGACCUGGAGUCUGGGGUCUUUGAUUGGAAGGACUGAGCAGGUGGAUAUGCAGUUCACUCGGGCUCAUGGGGUGGCACGGCUGCUGGUCAGUGUCGCCAAUAUUCAGUUCUUGCCAGACGUGGUGCCUUGGACUUACGCAGGUGUUUUAUAUCAGUUGGAUGUUGAGUAUGAGGAUCCUGAUCUUUUCAAUGAGUUUGAGGAUGAUAAUCCCAUGGAUACUUCUGAGGGAGGAGGGGGUUCGGGGAACCAGGAUGAUAUUGCAAAGAGUAAUGAUGACAAGAUUAUGGGACCGUCGGGGCCGUCGGAUAAUGUUGACUCCGCCCCUGUUGGGCCGUCUAGCACAGUUCGGACUACCAAUCUUCAGCUGGGUUCUAUUGGGGCAUUCUCGGCGCCGCCGAGGUUGUCGUGUGACAGGGUUGGUUCUGCGAGCCCGGUGCUCAGUUUGCGUGUGGCGAGGUCUGUUGAGGACGAAGGUGCUGCGGGGCAGGAGGUCCCGCCCUCGGUUCCUGUUUCUCCCUCGGCUAUGGCUGUGGUGGCCGAGCUGGUGGUCGCGGGGGGAGUUGUCGAGCAGGAGGCUCAGCCCUCCGGGUCUUUGACGCUGGCGGUGCCGAGGGGCGGCGUGGCCCCUUUGGUGAGGUCGUCGGCUUGCGGGGGAACGGGCGCGCAGGAGGCCGUCGUUUCCCCUUCUGCUGCUCUGGAGUGCGGGCAGGCUGGUGUGGUCGCUAAUGCACCGGAUUCCCUGGAUCGCGCUAGGACGAGUUCACCGGGCUCGGGCAUCGGCGGGAUAGCCGUCGAUAGGCCCUGGGAGCUCUCAUCGUCUUUGGAUGUUGCUCCGGUGGCCCCGGCGCUGGUCACCACUGCUGGGGGACGGGCAGGAGGCUCUUUCCCCAGCGCUGCUUCUCACGAGGAGGUCAUCGCUUUCGGUGGGAUCCCGGAUCCUGUCUCUGCAGGGAGACGGGUCAGCGGGAGACUGCAGGAGCACCCGGAUGUUGAUGACAUGCAGCUCAGGUGCGCGUUGAGGGCGGCCAAGUUGCGAGACGUCGAGCUUUCUACUGGUAUGUCUGUUAACAAGUGUAAUUCUAUUAUGCAUUUUACCAAUGAUGAGAUUGUGCAAAAUGCCAACCAAUUAGGAGUAUCUCUUGGUAAUAAUGAUCUAGAGAUCUCUAAGUCUGUUAACGAUAUGCUAGAUUUGGAAGCUGAACGAGCGUUAGAUUUGAUUCGUAACAUAGCUGCAGUUAGACCAAUGAAUGAGUCGGAGAUUGAUGCGCUUGGGGUUAGGGUUCUUGAUGGCUUGUGUGCUGAUCUUGACCCUGCGGUACAGGAGACGGAGGAGGAGGAUGAGUAUCCCUCCCCGGAUACUACUAACCUUGAAGUUGAGUCUUUGGCCAUAGAGGCUCAUUCCGAGCGUGCCGAUCCUUCUGAUGUUUGCGUUAAGCCUAAGAGGACCUGGAAACGGAAGGUUUACCCGGUGUCGGCUGUGCGUAGAAGUGCUAGGAUCCGUACCUCCAAAAAAUUUCAUGAUGAAAUAUGAGAGGCAUCUUUUGGAACAGCAGAGGUCUUAAAGACUUGGCUAAAAGACGGUUUCUAGCAGAGGCUUCUCUUGAACAUCAUUUAGAUUUUAUUGCUUUAUCCGAGACUGGACGAGGUAAUUUUUCCCCACAAUUUUUAGUACCUUAUCUGGGGGGGGGUAGAUUUUGACUGGCACUGCCUCCCACCUCGAGGAAGAUCUGGUGGGGUUUUACUCGGGGUUAAGUGCGAAAUGUUGGAGGUUCGGAGUGUAGUGUUGGGUGAGUUUGCGGUCAAGUUUCGGGUAAGAACAAAAGCAGAUGGUUUUGAUUGGGCUUUGGUGGCAGUCUAUUGGGCUGCGCAACCCGAACUCAAACCAGAUUUCUUCGCUGAUUUGGUCCGUGUUUGCGGUAAUGAGAAACUACCCGUCUUAGUGGGGGGUGAUUUCAACAUUAUUCGAAGAAAGGAGGAAAAGAAUAAUGACAACUUUGACGGCAGAUGGUCGUUUAUGUUCAAUACUAUCAUAGAAAGCUUGGAUCUCAGAGAGAUAGAGCUUUCGGGUAGGAAAUUCACUUGGGCAAACUCACUACCGGUUCCGACUUUUGAGAAGCUUGCUCGUGUUUUGGCGAGCGUCGAUUGGGAACAGAAGUUUCCUCUGGUAACGGUGCAGGCGUUGACACGAGGUAUCUCGGAUCACACACCGCUACUAGUCGACUCAGGGGCUCAAACUCAUAUGGGUAAUAAGAAUAUUUUCUCCUUCGAACUUUCUUGGUUUGAAAGAGAAGGUUUCAUUGAGUUGUUAGCUAGAGAGUGGGCUAAAGGCUCGGGGGGAAGGUCACCCAUUGAGCGGUGGCAAUGCAAGAUUUGUCAUCUGCGAAGGUUCCAUCGUGGAUGGGCUAAGCAUACGAAUGGAAUUUAUAAGGCGGAGAAGGAAAGGCUCCUUAUGAUUAUUCAUUCCCUUGAGUUAAAAGCUGAAACCUCUAUUUUAGAUACCAGCGAGUUGGAGUCUAAAGUGGAGGCCGAGUUAAGGCUGAAAGAGCUUCUCCACGAGGAGGAAUUGAAAUGGGCUUUGAGAGCUAAGGUUCGUAAGGUUGUCCAAGGAGAGGAUAACACUCAAUUCUUUCAUAUGAUUGCUAAUGGAAAGCAUCGUAAGAAGAGAAUUUUUCAAUUAAAACAAGAUGAAGGGACGAUAGUUGGUCAGGAAAACCUGAAAGUUUACAUUACCAACUAUUAUAAGCAGUUGUUUGGCCCUCCGGAAGAGAGUUUUGUGUCCUUGGAUGAGUCAAGAGUUGAGGAUGUUCCCCAACUUGAGAUGGAAGAGAAUGAGAUUUUGACUGCUCCUUUCACGGAGAAGGAGGUGUUUGAGGCCAUUGCACAAAUAUAAAACAAUAAAGCGCCAUGACCAGAUGGGUUUCCGGCGGAGUUCUACAAAAAGUGCUGGCAUUUUAUUAAAGGUGACCUGUUGCCGAUGUUUCAUGAGUUGUUCACUGGUCAGCUUCAUUUGUUCAAGCUCAAUUUUGGAACGAUAACUCUUCUUCCUAAGAAGACAGAGGCUAUUCGCAUUGAGCAGUUCAGACCCAUAUGUUUGCUUAAUGUCAGUUUCAAAAUUUUCACCAAGGUUGGGACGAACCGACUCACGCAGAUUGCGCAUUCAGUUGUGCAACCGUCCCAGACCGCUUUCAUGCCGGAUAGAAAUAUCCUUGAAGGGAUGGUCGUCUUGCAUGAAACGCUCCAUGAAAUCCACUCAAAAAAACUUGAUGGUGUGGUUUUUAAAGUGGAUUUUGAAAAAGCAUAUGAUAAAGUUAAAUGGCCUUUCCUUCAACAGGCGUUGCGUAUGAAAGGAUUUGACAAGGCCUGGUGAGACCAGAUCGAGUCCUUUACGCAAAAAGGGAGUGUAGGGAUUAAAGUGAAUGAUGAUAUAGGUCACUAUUUCCAGACACACAAAGGACUAAGGCAGGGUGAUCCCAUGUCACCGAGUCUAUUCAACAUAGUGGCUGAUAUGCUAUCUAUUUUAAUAGGUCGGGCUAAGUAUGCGGGGCAGGUUUCGGGCUUGGUUCCGCACCUAGUUGAUGGUGGUAUAUCCAUUUUGCAGUAUGCUGAUGAUACUAUCAUCUUUAUGGAGCAUGACUUGGCGAAAGCAAGGAACAUGAAGCUUGUGUUGUGCUUAUUUGAACAAUUGUCUGGACUCAAGAUUAACUUCCAUAAGAGCGAACUGUUUUGCUUUGGAAGAGCUAGUGAGGACCAGGAGGCAUAUAAGCAAUUGUUCGGAUGUGAGUUGGGUUCGCUACCGUUUACAUACUUAGGUAUACCCAUUCAUCAUCGUAACCUGACGGACAAGGAGUGGAAGUGCAUCGAGGAUCGUUUUGAAAAGAAACUGAGCUGUUGGAAAGGGAAGCUCAUGUCAUAUGAAGGUCGAUUAAUUCUGAUUAAUUCGGUCCUCACCAGUAUGCCCAUGUUUCUUUUAUCCUUUUUUGAGGUCCCGGUGGGAGUCAAGAAGAGGUUAGACUUUUAUCGAUCCCGAUUCUUUUGGUAGAAUGAUGAGUUGAAACGAAAGUAUAGGCUUGCCAAAUGGGAUAUCAUCUGUAGGCCGAAGGACCAAGGCGGUCUAAGCAUUGAAAAUCUAGAGAUCAAGAAUAGAUGUCUCCUUUGCAAGUGGCUUUUUAAACUUUCGUCCGAGACAGAGGCUACUUGGGCUCAGAUUCUGCGUAAUAAGUAUCUUCAGUCAAAAACUUUGGCUCAGGUGACUGUGCGCCCGACUGAUUCACCGUUUUGGAAAGGGUUGAUGAGAGUCAAGCCCCUCUUCUUUAACAGGGUAAAAAUCUUAGUCGGUGAUGGGACUAGUACGAGGUUCUGGGAGGAUACGUGGCUAGGGGAGACGCCUCUGGCACUUCAAUAUCCUACUCUGUAUAACAUUGUUCAACGUCGAGAAGCAUACGUUGCAACUGUCUUACAGUCCACGCCUCUCAAUAUUAGCUUUCGGAGGACGCUAGUAGGCGAUCAUUGGGAGGCAUGGCUUCAUCUUGUACGAAGGCUGAUGGAUGUCCAGCUGUCUCAGCAGCCAGAUAGAUUGUUUUGGAAACUGACUAAGGACGGCAGGUUCUCGGUCAAAUCCAUGUAUCUGGAUGUCAUAAACACUAGUGUCAUUCCUUGCUCGAAGCACGUCUAAAAAGUUAAGGUACCUUUGUGAAUCAAAGUGUUUAUGUGGUUUGUGCAUAAACAAGUCAUUUUGACAAAGGAUAAUCUGGCAAAACGCAAUUGGAUGGGUUCUGCUAGGUGUAGUUUUUGUGAUUGUAACGAAACUAUCAGGCACCUCUUUCUAGAUUGUCCACUGGCUAAGAUUCUUUGGCGUUCGAUUCAUAUUUCUUUUAAUAUUACUCCACCUACCUCUAUCAAUAUGUUAUUUAGAACAUGGCUUGAUGGGGUGAACUUGGAUGUAGCAAAACACAUUCGUGUUGGCGUGUGUGCCUUGUUAUGGGCAGUAUGGAACUGCAGAAAUGAUUUGGUUUUUAACAAAGCAACGAACUUUCAUUUUUUGCAGGUUAUCUUCAGGGCCACAGCAUUGAUCCGUAUGUGGUCGCUACUCACUCCGACGGAGGCCAGGGGGCGUUUGGCUACUGCGUCUACCCGAUGGGAGAUGGUAGCUCGGGUUAUUUUCAACCGGUUUGGAUGACGGUCAUGUAAUAGGAUAGGCAUGUAGUGCUCCUAUUUUAUUUGCCAGCCGGUUGUGGCUUCAUGAUUAGGCUCGUUUGAGCAGCUUGUUUUCUUUUCGACCUUUCAGAUAUUGGAGACUUUGUGACUCAUUUUGUUUUUUAAUAAUAUGAGCCGUAUGAAUCUUUCUGAUGCAGAGGCUGGGGUAAUACCACUUUUCUAAAAAAAAAAGUUCUGAACGUAGUGUUUCCUUUUUUAAAUCUCAAAACAGAGGAAAAGAAAAGGCAAAAUAAUACUGAAUCGAUGGACUAAACGAAUCAAUCGACCAACACCAACCUAUGGAAAACUGGCCUGGCCUGUUACUAAGAGCAGAGCAGGAACCAUUUCAUUUUAUUUUACUAUAUAUAGUACAUCACUUUGUAAUUCUUUUUUUUGAGAGUACGGAUCACUGUGUAAUUACCACAGUCGAUGCAAUGGCUGCAUUACACUGAUGAAACUGGCUUGUUUGUGACCACUCUUGACACAUCAAUCAAUUGAUCUUGUCCGGUGCGGCAGCUCCGAGGUUCUUGGUGCAGUGAUCCACACAAACCUCCACGUCAGCUGGCCCUGUCAGGCUGGUCAUAAUGGCGAGUAUCAUAUACUAGUAUGAUACUAAUGUAUGAUACUACAUCCAUAGUGCAUAGUAUCAUAGUUAACUUUAUUUAUUGCCAUGCAUGACAUAUAGUAGCACACCAUUUAAUAUGAUAGGGUAUCAUGAUAUAAUACUCAACCCUCUCUUUCUUCAUUCAAUUACAUGCCACCUCAUUAAAUCUUAUAUCUUAUAUUUACUAAUUGAAAGCACCAUACGAGCCACGUUAAUCCUAGGAAAUAGUAAUUAUGAGCCGUUAGAUCUAUUUUAAGAGGAAAGACAGCCGCCAGAUAGAUGUACACGCUUUCCACACAAAAAAGAAGUCCAUGUCUCUCACGUUUACAACCCACGCUUUCCACACAAAGAAGUCUAUGUCCCCCACGAUUCACAACCCAUCUCCGUGUGCAGCCUGCUGCUAUCUUUCCUUGCAAGAUUUUUAUCCAAUGCAGCCACCAAUCCCUAGGUUGUCGGCCUCCAAUUAUGUCUCAAUCUAGAUGUGCCUGGAGUCCUGCCCGCACAUGCCUCGGCAUCGCUGCUCCAGGAGCGUCCGGUCCAUCCUUUUGAUCGAUAAGUUGCAGUUGUGGUCGUGCUACCAGCAUCCUCGUCAUGAACGGCCUUGAGUUCCGUCAGCUGAUGCUUCUACGGUGCUGCUCAGGUCCUCCUCCUUUGCAUCUUCGGUCUUCACGUAAAACAAUCUGGCGAAUAUUUCUGAGCCAACCAUGCUGCAGACCGCCAGUACAUCUAGGCUGAGGAGGUCUUUUCAAUCUUUUCAGAUCCCAUGCCCCGACCAACACACAAUCCAUGAUGAACGAUGCAGUGGAGAUGGAGGUGCGACCUAAAUCAGACAGGACAACCACCACUGUAGGGGACGCUGCAGAGUCGAAGAACGAUAUGCUGAUUGCAGGUAAUUGGCUUUUGUUUUGGGGAGUUUUUAUGUUGUGAGACUUGGCCUGUAAGGAACAUGUACAGAUCACCAUGGCGUGCAAGGUGUUCUUCUCCUUGCUAGGUAUCCAUUGCCCUCCUUGACUUCAUAAGAGCAUAGAUGCGAGAUGGACGGGAAUCUGGUCGUCGCUGAUGUCGAACUCUCGGUCGGAUCAUGAUCCCAACUACAUGUCCUUCCAACCAUCUCAUCCUGGACUCUUCUCUCUGCUGCGUUCGUGUCUCUGCCAAGCACACCAUUCAAUAUCCUUCAUCUGAUGAAGGUGCCCUAGCAUAAUCGAUAAGUUUAUUUUGCGGUAUUCCGACAAGUGUAUGUUCUAUAGCCUCCAUCCUGUAGUUUAUUUCCUUUGUUUCAGGUUGUACAGAGGAGCUCAGGGACAACUGAGGUGCUUCUAGAAUUUUCUAAUGCUCAUAGGUAAUGAUUACUAUUUUGUUUAGAGGAAAAUUUAAUCAAUUCCAUUGACGUACUUCAGAAGCAAAGGGCCGUAUACGUAUUGGGUGAUCUCCAACCGCCCGACGAUAAUAAAAAGUCGUUGUAGUUGGGUUGUGUUCACGUAACUAUGAAACUUGACAUAGUUAGUAUAUGAAGGUUCGGCUUACUCUAGCAGUCCAGCUAUGUUUAUUGUUCAGUCUAUUUUUUAAACAUGUUGAUUAGCCAUUCCGGCAAAAAGGCCUGUCCGAUAUUUCACAAUUUCUUUUCUAAAAUCUCCAAUUCUGAUCAUAGGAAUUGAGAGGCCAAAUAUAAUUUUCAAUUUGCUUUACACAUGUCAAUCCAUGAGCAGAGUAUUUUCAUGGAUUCUACUACUAAUUAUUCACAUCCACUGCACAAAAUACAGGGCUAGGCCGAUUGUUCCCUUUCAUUGCAACCAAAACAUAUUUUUCGUAGUUUUGUAAGAUAUUUCUCCCAACAAAAUUCUUUUUGUGCGAGGAAUGCUUCCAACAAACUUUACCAUGAACCUUUCCAGCGAAGUAAUAUAUCUUCAUAUGUUUUAAAACUCCAAAUUAGACAGAAGACAUUAUUGUUGUGGUGUUGACCAUAUCAACCACGAAACAAGGUUCAUACGUGUUUCAGUUUUUAGCCUUUAAUGAUAUAGCAUCCAUAGGGCUGGCGCACAAUGCUAAUUCAUAGAAGCCAUCUCUUGCUUUCCUUCAUUUGGCCUAGGGUUACAUGAUGCUUCGGAAGAAUAGCGUAUCGGUUGCCUGGGCAAAGUGCAGCUCAGACAACUGAACAAUAUUUAUACUGCAACUUUUUUCUGCAUCGUUGUUCUUGCAGUCAUACAUUGAUGUGAAGGUAUUAAUAUUUUCCAUUCAUGUACAAAUUAUAGCACCUCCAUUCGACGAUACUUUUUAAAAUUUAUUUUACUAAUGUUCUAUUUACAGUUGGUGCAGGGAGAAGAAGGGUUGAGGAUAAAAUCACAUAGAAAAGGACAAAAAUAGCUACUCGAAAAUGCUUUGAUUUCAAUUACUGUAAGUGAAACUAUUUUGUUAUUUUUAGUUAUCAAAGUAUUUCCUACAUUUUUUAAUAUACUUAACUGAAUUUUUCUUCAUUUGAAAUAUUAAGAAAACAGUUACAGAUGAUGCAAUAGGAAACAAAUACAAGUUGGACAAAUACCAUUGCUUGGUAGCCUCUUUGCAUGUAUAUUUGAUUGAAGGGGUCCAUAAAUAGGGCAUAGGUCCAAGUGAUUUAACACAUCUAGGCCGUUAGCUAAGUGCAAAUUUUGUUACUUGAAUACAACUGAUUAUAUUAUUAGAAGUUUAAAACGCGAAAACCUUAGCACAUCAUAUGCGAGUGAGACGGUGGAACAACAACUCGAUUGGUGGUUUCAUGAUGAUAUAAUUUUCCCAAGAGAAUUUAACUAAUAAAAAUGUCAAAAUACUAGCCCCCGUGCAGAUGCACGGAUUGAUGACUAAUUUACCUAAUUGGCAUGCAUGAUACUACCUAUGAUACUACCAUUACGACCAGUCUCAUGCAUGGCAACGACGAACCAUGCAAAACACUCAAAUGAUCAGAGUUCCAUCAAAAACAAAAGAAAUCAAAUCAACCAAUCCUACUUGGAUCUGUUGGAGCUUGCGUGCUGGCCUCACCGGUCUCCACCAUGGCGUUGUCACAGAUGCCCAUGAGGCAGAUGCUGCCACAGCCGGCGGUGGUGGUCGACGGUGGCUGUCUGUUGAAGUAGUCCUGGAUGGACCCGAAGUUACAGGGGUAGGGGCCGGAGUACCUCCUGCGGUCAGCGUAGCACUGCUUAUAGCAACGGCAGAACUUUGACAUGGCCACCACCUGCUACAAUUUAAUUGCGGUCUUGAACUCAAGGUCUGUUGGCUUCGAUACCAUAUAAAAGUGCGCGCUCUAGUCAAUGCAAUCAAAAGACCGAUCUUAUGAAAGAGACUAGGCAACACAUUAUACGUCAACACGAUGAGCAGGCACUAGGCAGCGACGGCCCUGCUCUGCUUCCCCACCAUUCUUCUCCGAUCGACGGAGCGCGGCACAGCCUGCACGCUUGUACCCUAACCAAAAAGAUUUUUUUCAUUACCAGAGGUCGAUUAAGCAUGCGAAGAGUAUAACAAUGCAGCUGAAAUGAGAUGCCUACAGUUGAAAAAGGAAGAAGCGAUGAGAGCUGGGGAGGGGCGAGAGCUGUGUGUUUCAUGGAUGUCACCCUUGCGUGCAUAUAUAGAGGUAGAGUUUUUUUUUUGAGGUUUUCUUUCUAUUGCUGGUAUAUAUACCCAAGCCUCUAUAUCCGGCAAGGUUUUCGGUCCAAGAUUGAUACACUUGGAUGAAAAAGACCCAUGGUGAAUUUUGGACAUGGCACAUGCCAUUUUUUUGGUACCUGGCAGUGUAGAAACUACUUGUGUAUUCACUUAUUUCAUUCAAAUUUUUUGAACGGAUGUGGCACUCGCUUUGGUUGGCUUAGCGUUUUUCCAUUGCAUGUGGGGCAGGUUGCUCUGGUCAACUGUUGUCGCUGUCACAUUGGAAUUUGUGCCCUGACAUCCCAUUCGCCAUUCUACACGCCCAUAAAAGCCUCUCUAGGUGUCGGCCUCCGUCUCCCUCCCCCACUUCCUCGCCCAUCUUGUGCGGCCGCUCCAUUCUCUGUUCUCCCAUCUAGAGGUGAGAAAGGCCGCCGGGUACGCGAUGACGGCGAGCGUGCACACUGGCAAAGGUGGAGGCCCUGGCUGUUGCUGGAGUGCGUCUCGCGGACUCGCCGGCCUACCACGUGGUCUUCACCAUGGUCCGCGCGUCGUCAUCGGCUGUGCUCUGUCGGCGGAUCGUCCGCAAGAAGUUGCCUGCCCCGCCGUCUUGCUAGGCUUGCAGCCGCAGGGCUGGCCGGCAGUCCCGGCGCGCCGCCCGCCUUGUGUACCACUGCAUGCUGGACAUCACCUUCGGGAGGCCCCGCUUCCUUGCCCGCGCAGUGCCUCGACGCUCUUCCCACCCGGCGGCGAGGCAACCCGACUUCCGCCUUUCUUGGCAUCGCCAUAGCGGUGCGGAGCGUCCUAUGCGUGGCGAGCUCACGGCCAGCACUAUGAAGUCCUGACUGGACGACGCUCUUGGUUGUGUGCUUCGUGUGUGAUGCCGAAAGAAGAAGCUAUUCUGUGUGUGGUGGAUCGUACGUGUGCACCAGCAGCACGUCGGCGCACGGGACCGCUCUCCAUCGACUCCUCGCUGCCGCAUGAGGCGUCGGCGCCAGCGCUCGACGAGCAUCCGGUCCUCUUCUUCCAGGUAUAGGGAAGGCCAGCCCGUCACCGCCUGCACGCGACCCUGGUCUGUAGCUGAGUAGCUCCCGCGUCCGCUCUCAUGGGGCCAGCCGCCGACGACAGCUACGGUGGCGACGUCAUAGCGAUGCAUGCGCCAUUGGUUGGACCAGUUGCGGCAAUAUGGCGGUCUGGCGUCGUAAUCGGUGGGAACUGAAGACUUGCGGCCGAUGCCCCACGGGAUGGACACGCUGAAGCGGCGGGCCACGCACGCUGUGCAACGCAUGCGGCAUCCGCUAUAGGAUGGGCACCGAGAGCGACGAGCAACCCGGGGUGGCAAAACCUAGGGAGAAUGAUUCAGGGCAGUUGGCGCCCAACACGGACAAACUCCUGCACCGUUAUACCUGCAGCUAGCUGUGCAUGCCAUGCGUUACAUGAGUUUGGUAAAUUAGCUAGCAAAUCAUAGGUAGUAGGACCAAGUAGCAAGUAGCAACCAGCUGGAUCAGUUCUUCAGUCUGUUUCUGAAAUGUACAGGGUUAUGUUAUGUCCGAUGUUAGCGCUCUCGCUGUCCUCGGGGAGGAACACAAGGUCCCUGUGCUUUUUUUUCUUUUUUUUUGAAAAUAAGGUCCCUGUGCGCUGCAAGCUAUAUAUGGCUCGCGUCUCCAUGGACAAAACCAGCUACCGCCUACUUUUCAGAAUACUUAAAAGGAAUGGCCGACGGGAUGUCGAACUCGAGUCCUGGUCGCAUGGCAAGAAAGCAGAUGACGAUCCACUGGGCUACUGGCCAACAUGUGACAAAAAUAGUUCAUGUUCCUCUUAUAUCUAAUUUCAAAAAGUUUGAAUUCAAAAUUCGAUUACAAAUUUCGUCCGAAAUAUGUUCGGAAUUUCUCGGUAACCGUGGUAACCGAGAAUCUCGCCCCCCCACGAGAAAAUUUAUCCAUUCGGAAUCCAAAAGAGUGGUCAAGAUAGGUAAGCUCGUGGCUUUGGACAACAUCGGCAUGUAUGCCAUCUUCAUUGGUCCUCAGAGGUGCCUGGCUGUCGAUGCCGACAAGUUCCCAGGCAUCGAGGCAAACUGCGCCUACUUCACUGAACAACUGGGUUCGUCCGUUCAUAUCUGCAAGUGCAACAUCAAGGACAGGAAAGUUGAGAGGAUCUCUGAAGCUGCCGAUUUCAUGAAGCAGGACAAGAAGUUUGUCCUCACCGCUGACUGUCCUUCGACGAUCAUCCACCUUCUCUCCGGCUACACCGUCAACAUCCCGGAUUCUCAACUGGCUUUGCAACAGGUUCCAUAAGCCGCCGGCAGAUCUUCGUUCAACUUUGGGGAGAUUGAUCACAGGUCAAGGCCAUGCUUUAGUCUUUUGCUUUGUUAUUUUGGAUAUGCUUUGCCACGUAACGGGUAAGAAACAGGUUGAUCCUAGAUUAGAUCACC